rnacentral:rRNA from 1 species
CAAUAGCGUAUAUUAAAGUUGUUGCAGUUAAAAAGCUCGUAGUUGGAUUUCUGGUGGGAGCGAUCGGUCUGGCGCUUAGCGCGAGUACUUGCAUCGUCUCCGGCCAUCCUUGGGGAGAGUCUGUCUGGCAUUAGGUUGUCGGGCAGAGGAUCCUCAUCGUUUACUGUGAAAAAAUUAGAGUGUUCAAAGCAGGCUUAUGCCGUUGAAUAUAUCAGCAUGGAAUAAUAAGAUAGGACUUUGGUACUAUUUUGUUGGUUUGCGCACCAAAGUAACGAUUAAUAGGGACAGUUGGGGGUAUUCGUAUUCCGUUGUCAGAGGUGAAAUUCUUGGAUUUACGGAAGACGAACUACUGCGAAAGCAUUUACCAAGGAUGUUUUCAUUAA